rnacentral:hammerhead_ribozyme from 1 species
AUCCAGCUGACGAGUCCCAAAUAGGACGAAAAGCUAGUUAAACUGGAU